AGAGUUUGAUCUCUGGCUCAGGAUGAACGCCGGCGGUGUGCCUAAUACAUGCAAGUCGUACGCACUGGCCCAACUGAUUGAUGGUGCUUGCACCUGAUUGACGUUGGAUCACCAGUGAGUGGCGGACGGGUGAAUAACACGUAGGUAACCUGCCCCGGAGCGGGGGAUAACAUUUGGAAACAGAUGCUAAUACCGCAUAACAACAAAAGCCACAUGGCUUUUGUUUGAAAGAUGGCUUUGGCUAUCACUCUGGGAUGGACCUGCGGUGCAUUAGCUAGUUGGUAAGGUAACGGCUUACCAAGGCGAUGAUGCAUAGCCGAGUUGAGAGACUGAUCGGCCACAAUGGAACUGAGACACGGUCCAUACUCCUACGGGAGGCAGCAGUAGGGAAUCUUCCACAAUGGGCGCAAGCCUGAUGGAGCAACACCGCGUGAGUGAAGAAGGGUUUCGGCUCGUAAAGCUCUGUUGUUGGAGAAGAACGUGCGUGAGAGUAACUGUUCACGCAGUGACGGUAUCCAACCAGAAAGUCACGGCUAACUACGUGCCAGCAGCCGCGGUAAUACGUAGGUGGCAAGCGUUAUCCGGAUUUAUUGGGCGUAAAGCGAGCGCAGGCGGUUGCUUAGGUCUGAUGUGAAAGCCUUCGGCUUAACCGAAGAAGUGCAUCGGAAACCGGGCGACUUGAGUGCAGAAGAGGACAGUGGAACUCCAUGUGUAGCGGUGGAAUGCGUAGAUAUAUGGAAGAACACCAGUGGCGAAGGCGGCUGUCUGGUCUGCAACUGACGCUGAGGCUCGAAAGCAUGGGUAGCGAACAGGAUUAGAUACCCUGGUAGUCCAUGCCGUAAACGAUGAGUGCUAGGUGUUGGAGGGUUUCCGCCCUUCAGUGCCGGAGCUAACGCAUUAAGCACUCCGCCUGGGGAGUACGACCGCAAGGUUGAAACUCAAAGGAAUUGACGGGGGCCCGCACAAGCGGUGGAGCAUGUGGUUUAAUUCGAAGCUACGCGAAGAACCUUACCAGGUCUUGACAUCUUGCGCUAACCUUAGAGAUAAGGCGUUCCCUUCGGGGACGCAAUGACAGGUGGUGCAUGGUCGUCGUCAGCUCGUGUCGUGAGAUGUUGGGUUAAGUCCCGCAACGAGCGCAACCCUUGUUACUAGUUGCCAGCAUUAAGUUGGGCACUCUAGUGAGACUGCCGGUGACAAACCGGAGGAAGGUGGGGACGACGUCAGAUCAUCAUGCCCCUUAUGACCUGGGCUACACACGUGCUACAAUGGACGGUACAACGAGCCGCAAGCUCGCGAGAGUAAGCUAAUCUCUUAAAGCCGUUCUCAGUUCGGACUGUAGGCUGCAACUCGCCUACACGAAGUCGGAAUCGCUAGUAAUCGCGGAUCAGCAUGCCGCGGUGAAUACGUUCCCGGGCCUUGCACACACCGCCCGUCA
rnacentral:rRNA from 1 species